rnacentral:lncRNA from 1 species
CAUAAAACUGGAAAAAUACAAUGGCGCCUACUUAUGUAUGAAAACAACUUUAUAUAUUUUGCAUUAAGGCUCUCGAAUUGAAGAUUCUGAUUCUCUCCGGUUACUGGAUACAACCUUUUGCAAUAUGUGUACCUUACGGGUAUCUCACAUUGUUAAUUUCCCCCCUAGUUCCUAUUUCUGGCUUUUAGUUGAUACUUAAAAACAAGCAUCUUGGAAAAUGUCUUAUUUUAUUUUAUUUUAAAGAUAAGAAACAUGGCCUUUGACACUCACUUACUGAUUUUUAAUUAAUCAUUGGCUAUUAAAUUUUCAUGGGCUACUUUGAUGUUAAUUAAACUUUUUAACUUAGAUUUUCAACUAUGUUUUACUUCAAAUUCUCACAUAAUAAAUGUGGACAUAACAAUAGACUGCUGUUAUAAAAUAUAGUAUCAAAAUAGAAGAAUCUUAC